rnacentral:rRNA from 1 species
UAGGGAAUCUUCCGCAAUGGGCGAAAGCCUGACGGAGCAACGCCGCGUGAGUGAUGAAGGUCUUCGGAUCGUAAAACUCUGUUAUUAGGGAAGAACAAAUGUGUAAGUAACUAUGCACGUCUUGACGGUACCUAAUCAGAAAGCCACGGCUAACUACGUGCCAGCAGCCGCGGUAAUACGUAGGUGGCAAGCGUUAUCCGGAAUUAUUGGGCGUAAAGCGCGCGUAGGCGGUUUUUUAAGUCUGAUGUGAAAGCCAACGGCUCAACCGUGGAGGGUCAUUGGAACCUGGAAAACUUGAGUGCAGAAGAGGAAAGUGGAAUUCCAUGUGUAGCGGUGAAAUGCGCAGAGAUAUGGAGGAACACCAGUGGCGAAGGCGACUUUCUGGUCUGUAACUGACGCUGAUGUGCGAAAGCGUGGGGAUCAAACAGG